UUUUUUCUCGAAAGUAAAAGAUCUAAAUUAGUAUGUUAGUUUUUGUGUCAAAAAAAUUGAAUAGACUUUUUUAGGUGUGAGAUGCUAAUCGUUUUUACUAAUAUCUAGUAACUUUAGAAAAAAAUUUAGUUUGGGUUAUAAAGAGUCUUUUUAUUUUUAAGGAGUCUUUGUUAUAAACUUAUAUUUUAGGGGAUGAGCUCUAAAAUAAAUUUAAAAGAAAGGAUGAGUUUACGUUUUUGAUAGGCUUAGAAUUUGCCAUAAGAUAGUGUUAUAAGAUAGAAUAGCAAAAGUAAGAUUUAAUUUUUCUUUGGGAUUUAUAAAGUUAAUGUAAUAAUAAUAUAAUUAUUGAAAAUAUGAUAGCAUAAGUAGAUUAGGAAAUUUUGGAGAAGAUUUAAAUACUCCAGGGUUUAUAACAUUAAGAUUUUUGACAGAAGAACUCGGCAAAUAAGAUUUCCGAAUGUUUAACAAAAACAUUUCCUCUUGGAAAAGGGAGGUAAGGCCUGCUCACUGAAUUUUGAAGAGCCGCAGUAUCCUGACUGUGCUAAGGUAGCAUAAUCAUUAGUCUUUUAAUUGGAGACUGGUAUGAAUGGCUAAACGAGAAAUCGGCUUUUUUUGUCAUAAAAGUUGAAUUUAAUUUUUUAGUGAAAAAGCUAAAAUUCUUCAGAAAGACGAGAAGACCCUAUAGAGUUUUAUAUUUUUAUAAAUUUUUUUUUAGUGGAUUUUUUUGGAAAAAAUUUUUUAUAGAUAUUUUGUUGGGGCGACAUUUAGAUAAGUGAAACUCUUUAUUUUAAAGACUUUAUUAAAAGAAUGAAUUGAUCCUUUAUAAGAGAUCAAAAGAAAAAAUUACCUUAGGGAUAACAGCGUAAUCUUUUUUGAGAGUUCUAAUCGACAAAAAGGUUUGCGACCUCGAUGUUGGACUAAAAUUUAGGCA
rnacentral:rRNA from 1 species